UAAGGAAUAUUGCUCAAUGGGAGAAAUCCUGAAGCAGCAACGCCGCGUGGAGGAUGAAGGGUUUUUAACUUGUAAACUCCUGUAAAGAAGGAAAAAAUUCCCAUUAGAUGGGAAAUGAUGGUACUUCUGGAGUAAGCCCCGGCUAACUACGUGCCAGCAGCCGCGGUAAUACGUAGGGGGCAAGCGUUGUCCGGAUUUACUGGGUGUAAAGGGUGCUCAGGCGGAUUUGUAAGUCAGAGGUGAAAUCUCACAGCUUAACUGUGAAACUGCCUUUGAUACUGCAAGCCUAGAGUAUGGAAGAGAGUGAUGGAAUAUCUGGUGUAGCAGUGAAGUGCGUAGAUAUCAGAUAGAACACCAAUGGCGAAGGCAGUCACUUGGUCCAUAACUGACGCUAAAGCACGAAAGCGUGGGUAGCAAACAGGAUUAGAUACCCUGGUAGUCCACGCCCUAAACGAUGAAUACUAGAUGUUGGCUUCGCAUGAAGUCAGUAUCUGAGCUAACGCAUUAAGUAUUCCACCUGGGAAGUACGAUCGCAAGGUUGAAACUCAAAUGAAUUGACGGGGUCAUAGCUGUUUCCUG
rnacentral:rRNA from 1 species